AAAAAAUCGAAUGUUUGAGAUUAUGAUCAUCAUCAUGGUUACCUUGGUGAGCACAACAAGAUAUUGUCUUGAAAUUUUCAAAUGUACUACUUGCAUUUCUAGUGAUUGAAAUCUUUUUCAUCAUCAUCCAUGUAACAAUUAUUUUUUUUUAUCUCUGAAUAAACAACAACGGCAAUGAUAAUGAUGUGAAUGAAAGGGGAAAAAAGAUAACUGAUGAUCAAGAGAGAGAGAGAGAAAGAUGGCGUGAGAUCCAAUGAGGCAUAAAUAAAUAAUUACCAUCAUCAUCAUCAUCAAACGAAUGUGAUUGUCAUGGCCAUUUUAUUAUUAUUAUUAUGAUGGUGAUGGUUACCUUGGAUUCCAACGUUCUCAUCUAAUACAUAAUGCCAAUUUUUGCACUAAUCAAAUAAUCCGAUUAAAUAUUCUUUAUUUUAUUUAUAGAUAUUUAUUACAAAACCAGUCAAAUCGAUGAUGAUAAUCACCGUUAUAUUAACCACCAAUCUGUUGGUGAUAAUAAAUAAUGGUAAAUUUCCAUAAUCAUUGCAAGCCACCAUUUUUAUUUGCAGGUACAAUAGUACCGCCAACCAUUAUCAAUUGACAAGAAUGAAUGGUUGUGUGUGUUGUGUUGUGUUUGUGUAGACAAUUCAUCAUCAAUUUCUGAUCAAUUUAUUUAUUCAUUCAAUUCAGAUAUCGAUUAACAAUAUUGAUAUUGUGCCAUAAAUUACAAUUUGUAUGUGGGAAAAAUAAGAAGAAAAAAAACAACAUAAACCAAACAUUUAGCUGUAGCUGUAGUUCAAUGAUUAUCAUGAUAAUAAAUGUUGAUCAAGAAA